AAGAUCCAAAGAGCCGUGCUUCAUUCUGUACCCUCUUGUGGAAUCCAAAGUCAGUCAUCUAGCUUGGCCAGAACAAUAGGAUGAACAGGAAUGAAAUGGCGGAGAUGCUGUGAUUGAAGAA